rnacentral:lncRNA from 1 species
CAGAAGGGGUGGAGCCAUGCUCCCCCCCUUCCUACACCCCAUUUAAGGGCUGACUCUCAAGGAGGAAGGAUCUUUAUCUGGUGCUCAUCCCUCUUGGAAUCUUUCUGUGAGCCCAGAACAUGGGACUAAACGUGAAAAAGAUGUUCUUCAUAGAACAUGACACAAUCCCACUCUUGGACAGCCUGGAUGACGGAACGCAAAAGAGUGUACAGUGCCUCCCCCCGUUGCUCACAUGCCCUGACUCAGUGCUGCUGGCAGGGAUGAAUGGAGCACAGCGUGAGGUCAGCUCCCAGACAGCACUGUCCCAGCCCCUCCCCGGGAACGUCACAAAGGACCCACCACCCAUCUGCGUGGGCACCCAUUUCUGAAGCUGCCAAACUGCAAACUUCAGAAACCAAAGCCCCAUUGUAACGGAGCAACUUAACUAUACUGCCUAUGAGCAAAAGACUGCCGUGACCCCUAAAGAAAGAUUGUUGGAGCGCUACAAGAAAUUCAAUAGUCUUAGUCAUGAAAUACGUGUGGGAUAAAAAUCUGCAGUUCUUUGUUUGCAUAUUGAGUCUUGGGCAGAGCGCAGAGCUGCCCGUAAUGUGCUAUUAAAAUACAGUUAUGCGGAAUAUUAUAUGCUAGUGGAAAGCCGUAACAGUGAUGGCAGAAGAGCUGCGGUACAGAACCAAAACAAAUCGUGCAUUUUGUAACAAUUUAAAUGCAUCCUGGCUCUAACUGAUUACUAAAUUACUGCUGUAGCUGCUGCACGGACAUGCUGGGAAUAUAGAGUCUUUCUGACUGCUGCUCAAACCCUUUCCUCUGUGGAAGGACAAGUCCCCAUUUUUUAGUCCCCAUUACUCAGUUCAUUCUGUUCAGAUGUGUUCUAUUAUACAGAUACAUUUAAUUAUUUGUAUUACUGGAGCAAAAUUCAUGCACCAAGAUUGAAGACUGCAACUGUCAUACCAAGAAAAAAAAAGAUGAAUGGGUUAUCUUUUCCUUUCCCAACAGAAAACCCUUUUGCUUGAUUUCAUCCUCCCAGCAAGAAGCAAGCUUUGCUUUCUCAGAAAGUACUGUUUCUGUUCUGUACCUUUCUCUAUUUGGUCCCUGUCCUUUGCACAGAUUUCUCCUUACAAGCACAAAACCACUCCAUCUGCCAUCAGUUUUCCAUGCUCAUACUCCUAAAUCUGCCACUAUACACCCAAUAUGAGGACCCCACCCUUCUCAUCCAACUAUGAUGUUGUGGAUAUGCAGUAUUAUACUAACAGUUUCCCAUUUUCAUUCUCCCAUUCAUGGCUGCCUCGAUAAUUUCUAAACCUCACCUCUCCUCCUGUGCAGGGCUGCCCCUUUCUGCAGCUGACUCCUCUUUCCUACAUGACAUCCUAUCCUGAAGCUCCAAGCAAACAUAGCCUCUAUGGUGGCCUCUCUCCAUACACCGAGACUGCCCAGGAGCCCUGGAUUUUUAGCUUCCCAAGUCCUGGCCUCCCCAUUCUCCAGGGAUUUUCUGUUACAAGCAAAGACGAGCGUAGGCAAACCAGAGGUACAGCUUCAAGAGUGCAUUUGUCUACUGCUGUGUGUCAAGAUGGGAACUUUCAAUAGCUUCCUCCAUUUGCUGCUCAUGCCCACCGCUGCUCUGAGGAACGUGGAAAGAAGAAACAGGCUCACAGCAGGUGUCCUGCUUCUUGGGAACAUUUCUGCCUCUUAAAAAUCAAAGAGAAUCAUAGCAUCAUAUUUGCUGAGAGCUGGGCACUUCCUGAUUUUAACAGAGUUAUCUGUUAACUUGGUGAUGUCACACAUGGGAUGUCUCAGGCUAAACGCUGAGUUUCUCUAUUACUGCUAUCGCAGAGGAAGAGGUGUAAUAGCGACCCCCCUCAAAUACAGUUUCCUAGCUUAUGGUUCCCACAGCACAGACACUGCUUCUUCUUAGCAUUCCUGAGGAGGAAGGCCAGCACAAAAGGGAUUAAGUGCUACUUUCUGCCUGUUUCCACCAUCAUGACCACACAUGCAUCUCCACACACCAUGCCAUGAGUUGGUGCAAGCAACCACAGACUGAGCAACAUCUGUUCAGCUGAGUGGAGAACGUGGCCUUAAGAAUCACAGGUGUUAAGCAAGUCUAAUAUUGCUGUAGUAACCGGCUUUAAGACUCGUAUCUCUUUUGCCAUGAACACAUUCUUUUGCAGACUGAAAGAAAUAGGUGUUAUUUCUGUAUGGACUACAAACCAAAAGCUAAAAAUAGCCUAUAGAGUCAAGUAAUUCUACGUUUUCAAUAAUUAAAUUAAAUACCACUUAGGACUUGCAUUAAUUUCCAGAGGAUCGUUUGAACUAUAAUUAAUAGUCCUCCUAAAAGCAAGGAGAGCGUAUAAAUAUUGCUUUUUUUUUUUUUAAUAUGUGAGAAAAAGGAGUGGGAGAAUAAUGGAGUACCCAUGGCUACUGAGAAGUUGAUAGGAGGGACAUGAUGAGAAAAUGUAUUAGUGGACCUGAUUCUCCGCUGGUCAGCAAAAUGGGUCAUUGCUCACACCACUGGGAAGUGUGCAGGGACUACCAACAUUGGAGAAGGGGAAGUGUUAAGCAUACUGCGGCUUGUUUUAAAUGGCUGCGCAAGCUGUUGCCAAUUAAAAGUCACAUUUUUCUCCUCCCAGUCCCAAGUUCAGAUAAUAACAUCCCUGAACAUCACUUUUGACAAAGGAAGUAUGGUUCAGUUACCAGAAACACAGGACAGACUGGAGGUAAUCAACUCUUAGUUAAAGCCUGGAAAAAAAAAUCCAUGUUAAAUAUUAAUACUGAGAUUUAACUAUUACACAACAACAGAACAUAUUAUGGAAGGACUUUAUACACAUGGGACAGUUUGUGCACGUACAGUAAAAUCCAUGCCCCACUAAAGUCAGAAGGACUGAGAUUUUACCUGCUUGGCUUUACUGAACUUAGAUAUUUGCCUGCAGGUUCUUGGUCUGAAGACAGUGAGCGGCACCAUACAGUCAACAGCUCUCAUCAUUGAAUGCCACAAAGGACAAAGGAAAGGAUGGAAGACUUUCAUUAGCUAGAGCAGGGUAGUAAUAAUAAAAUAUUUCCAACACCCUGCAAA